CCCACCUGGUGACUUUCUCUUCCUAGGUAAACUCUUCCUUUGACUGUUAAACUUGUGUAUGCUAAAAUAUACUACUAGCUAAGUUUAAAGUGAGCCACAAUCAACGAGAACAUUUUCAUAACAGAAUGGAUGUAGAAUUCAUCUAUAAAUAUAAAUAUAUAUGCUAUGAAUGAACAACUGUUAACAAUUAAACAGUGCUUACUAAGUGCCAGGCUCAGUCCUAAACAUAUACAAAGGUACUUUUUCCUCAUAAUCACACUACACGUGUAAAGUAAUCCUAUUAUUCAUUUUUCAUUCUACAGAUGAGGAAACUCAGAAAGAAUUUAAUUAGCUUGCUCAACAUUACACAGCUGGUAAUGGCCUGACUCAGCAUAGGGCAUGGACAAGCAAUUCAGAAAAGAAGAAACAGAGUGACCAGUAGACUGGUAUUAGAGAAGCACGUAUUAAAAGAAUGACAUGCUUGGAGUUCCCACUGUGAUGCCGUGGGUUAAGAAUCUGACGGCAGCAGCUAAGGGUCCCUAUGGAGGCAUGGUUUCAGCUCGGCAGUGGGCUAAAGGGUCUGAUGUCCAAUCCCUGGCCCUGGAACUUCCAUAUGCCUUGGAUGCCGCCAUAAAACAAAAAACAGUUACAUACUAUGUACACCUAUCAAGUUGUCAGCAAUCUAAAAGUCUGGCAAUACUAAUGUGGCAAAAGAUGUGAUGGGUAAGUAAUACAACCUCUAUGCAAGCAUUUGGGGACUAUCUAGUGAAGAUGAGAAUGCACACAUGCUAUGCCUCAGCCACAUAGCAUGGCAGUGUCCACUCAUGAGAAACUCUCAUGUGCACAAGGAGACGUGUGCAAGGAUGUCCAGUUUCAGUGACUUUCAAAAAUGCACGAUGCAAAAGUCCAUCACCGAAGGAACAGAGGUUCUACAAUGGAGUAUCCUUAUAAAUGUGCCCUUACGGUCAGAGCUUAAAGGCACAAUGAUGAGUGAAAAAAGCAAAUUAUGCCUUUUUCUUCUAGAGAGAUGGAGCAGAGGUACUUUUUCCUAUUCUUCCCACUAAAAACACUGUGUGUUACCCAGAAAAUGUACAAAGAUUCUGAAAGGUGGAAAGAAGAAGGCAGACUGGUUGGGGACCUCAGGACCCAAAGAAUGACCUGGUGGUAAAUUCCCUUUGCCUCAAAGAUCCCAGACUGGAUACUGCAAAAGCCAGCAACUCUGAAACAGCAAUGAAUGCAAACCAAAACAGCCCUAGCAAAAGUCAGCCCUCUGCAUCUGAGAACCAAGAAAGGGUCAGCCUAGCAAGACAGAACAUUUUUAGAGAAUAAACACUGUGCUUCAGCAAAAUACCAUAGAUCAUGCUAUUGCCCCAUCCCAACCCCAGCCAACAAAGGCUGAGUGGGAGCCUAGAUGUUCACUCUUGCCAGCCUAUAGGAAGAUGUGUGACUGUACUGCCGUGGUGACGUUAGCAGAGACUGAGUGAGGGGCCAGGACUUCCCUCUCCAUGGAGGGGUAACCAACCCCUCGCAUGGUGUCCUGGAGACCAUGUGAGAAGCCCUGGACUUGCACCCCCCCACCCCCCAGCAGAAAUGACAGAGCUCUCAUUGCUCACUGGUGUCACUGGAGUCCACAUGGGGAACAGUAAGAAAGCACUGCUAACUCACUCAGCCAGCAAAGUGCCAGGGAAGGUUGGCGGGAAGCCAGAACUCCCACGGCCACCAGCAGCGAUGAGGACCCACUCCUACUUCAGUGUCAGUGGAGUCCAUCUGUGAUCUGAGACUGGUGCUCACACCCGAUUGGACACUUCUCUUACCGGAGCAGUGUCAGAGGAAGCCAGCUAAAACAUAAAGUUUAAAAAGAUUUGGAGAUGGGAAACACAAUACACAAAAUGUCCAGGUUUCAAAUGAAAAUCACUCAGCACACCAAGAACCAGGAUGAUCUCAAAUGAAUAAUAAGUUAAUCGAUGGAUACCAAUACCAAGAUGACCAAGGGGUUGGAAUAAUCAUACAAAGGUGUUGGAGCAGCCAUCAUAAAAAUACUUCAACAAGCAGUUACAGACACGCUUAAAACAAAUGAAAAAUAGUAUCACCAGAGAUUUCUCACUCAUCACAUGUAGAAGAAAGGUCAUAUGAGGACACAGCAAGAAGGUAGCCAUCUACAAGGGAGGGAGAGAGUCCCGCUAGAGCUCAACCCUGCUGGCACCUUGCUCUUGGACUUCAAGCUCCCAGAACUGUGAGAAAUAAAGAAGCCCCUGCCCCAGUCUGUGACAUUCCAUUAUGACAACCUAAGCAGACUGAUACAGAGCUCAAUAGAAUGCAUGUUCUAAGUUGUCUUUCUCUCUUUUGGGGAUGAAUAUAUUUCAUAUGAACUGUUUGGACUCUCUAAAAAACAAACAAACAAAAAAGUCUCAGCAAAGCCAAAUUGGAAUUUUAGAACUGAAAGAUGUGAUAAGCAAAAUUUACAACUCAGUGGAUGGGCUUAACAGCAGAAUGAAGGGGAGAAAGGAAUGAAGCAGUGCGCUGAAAGACAGAACAAUAGAAAUGAUACAAUCAGAACAACAGAAAGAAAAUUAGAAAAAAAUAAUGAGCAGAGCCUCAGGGACCUGUAAGAUAAUAACAAAAGAUCUAACAUGUACACAGAAUUCUCAAAUCAAUAAUUAAAAAAUCCAAUCAGAAAACAAGAAGAUACAGAGAUGCCAGCUAAACACGUGAAAUGUGUUUAACUUUAUUAGCCAGGAAGGAGGAAAGGAAUCAUUUAUUGAGUCCUGGUGUGGCACAUAUUGUAUUAGGCAUUUGUGCCAUUUCCUUAGACAAGGAUCCCGGGAGUUUAUGGUCAGCCGCAUAAGCAGAGAAAGUCUCGGACAAAUAGUAUUCAGGAUAGAAAGUGGUAAGUGUCUCAGUAGGAAGAAAAUGAUGUCAUCUGGGGUUCACAACUUCUAGCCAACAUCCCUCAGGAAAGAUAUGGCUGACAUUUCAUGUAAAGAAUGAGUAGAUUUGUGGCAAGAGGAAACAUGGCGAGAAGAUAUUUCAGAGGGAGGAAGAAGCAGGACCAAGCCUUGGAGUUGGGAGCGCAUGAGAGUUCACUGGGGUUGGCACAGCCUGGGUGAAAAGGAGAAGAUAAAGGGAAUGCUGGUAAGUGAGGCUGGAAAGAUUAGUGAAGCCAGAGCCCAGAGGACUCUAGGUAGGUAUUAGUUAGAAAUGUGCUCUUUCUGUCAAAGUUGGCAUGAUCUGUUUUGGUUAUGUAUGAAAAGCACUUCUACUGGUCGCUUUAUUCCACAGGAACAAACUAAAUGGACCUUCUCCUAGGCUGCCAUGGAGAAGAGUCAAGUGCUCAUUCUGUCAUUCUGAUGGCUGAUGAAACAUAGAGACUGGAGUUAAUGGAAGAAAGCUAAGGACCCAAGGAGUAGCUGUCCAUCUUCCCUCCCUGAAGAAAUAUGUGUGCCAGAAGAUAAUCUACCUACUAUAGAUUCAUUUGAUUUCCAAGCUCCUCUUUGAAAAAGUCAAUACUCUCACAGGUUUGGGAUUGGAAGAAUGGUGGUGAAAUGAUUUUUGGAGUUAUGCUUUAUCUUUGUCAACCAAAUGUUUCAAGAGUAGCUUAUUCCAUUUGCAAGCUUUUCUUUUUUUUUUUUUUUUUAUGGCUGCACCCAUGGCAUAUGAAAGUUCCCAGGCUGGGGGUCGAAUUGGAGCUGCAGUUGCAGGCCCCUGCCACAGCUACAGCAACGCCAGAUCUGAGCCACAUCCACGACCUGCACAGCAGCUUGUGGCAAUACCAGAUCCUUAACCCACUGAGUGAGGCAAGGGAUCCAACCCGCAUCCUCACGGAUACCGGUUGGGUUCUUAACCCACUGAGCCAUAACAGGAACUCCCUUUUGCAAGCUUCUAGAUAAUCCAUCAGAGUAACAGGUAAGGAAAAUAUCAGAGCCAUCUCUCUAAAGGGAUUUGCUCAUGUCCGUGGAAAUUUCCAUCACAGAACUUCAACAUAAAUUUAUAUAAUAAGUAUGUGACCCUGAGCACAGAGGAAAAAUAGAUUCUUUUCUGAAAGCUUGAAUUAAAAAAUUGAAGAUCAGCAGAGCCACCUUCCCAUCAAGCCUAGCAAAUAAUUUCAACACUGAGCAUCAGCAUAUCUAUCCGACUGCCCAACCCCAUUCUAUGGAACAGAUUAGUUCUGGAUAUAGAACAUUGCUUCUCUAACUUUAAUGGGCAUGCAGAUUAAUGGUGAUCUCUUUGAACUACAGAUUCUGAUCCAGUAGGUCUAAGUGGGACCCAAGAUUCUCAUUUCUAAAAGCUCUCAAGUUCCCGUCGUGGCUCAGUGGUUAAUGAAUCCGACUAGGAACCAUGAGGUUGCGGGUUCAAUCCCUGGCCUUGCUCAGUGGGUGAAGGAUCCGGUGUUGCCGUGAGCUGUGCUGCAGGUCGAAGACGCGGCUCAGAUCCCGCGUGGCUGUGGCUCUGGUCCGAUUCGACCCCUAGCCUGGGAAUGUAGGUGUGGCCCUAAAAAGCAAUAAAAUAAAAUAAUAAAAUCUCUAAAAGCUCUCAGAUGCUGACAGUGCUGGUGCCCGGACCACAUGUGAAUCCUGAAAAUACAGACUGGGCUAUGGCACCAUGUAGAACUGUCCAAAUUCCAACUAAAAAACUUGCCAGUUUUGUGGCCUUGGGAAAAUUGUUUAACCUCUCUGAGGCUCAGUUUUCUCAUCAGUAAAAUGGAAAUAUAAAUACAUAUCUUGCAAAAUUAGUGGGAAGAUAAGAAGUAAUGUAUUAAAAACCAUUUGGCCAAGGUCCUGACACAGAGUAGGCACUCAACACAUGAUAACAGGUAGUACUUAGGGUCCAUGGGCAUCCUUAUCAAAGAGAAUCUGCCUGCUAUGUAUUUGCAGCAAGAGAGAGUUGUGAGUUACUGUUUUAGCACAUAAUUAAGAGAGAGAUUUUCAUUGCUUCCCAUUGGGGAAAAAAAGUCUCCAGGUAUUCAUUUGCUCUGUGGGAAUAUUUGCAUUCCCUCGUGGGCUGUUCUUGGUUUAUAUUCAUGUGCUUCUAUCUGUUGGAUCUUAAUAUUUGAUGUAUUUUAACAGUUGGUUUAACAGUGAGCGGCAUAUCCACAGGAAGGCCUAUUUCAGAGAAUAAUCAAUGAGCAUAAAACAACUUAAAAUGAUGAUAUGAGGUUAACUGUGACAUUCAUUCAAUUAUUUUACAAGGCUGGUCUUUUUCAUCUUUAACCCAUCCAUACAAAGCAGGAACUGGAGAGGUUUUGGUUUUACAGCCACACCUGCGGCAUGUGGAUGUGCCCGGGCCAGGGGUCUAAUUGGAGCUGCAGGUUCCAGCCUAUACUACAGCCACUGCAAUACCGGAUCAGAGCUGUAUCUGCAACCUAUGCCACAGCAUGCAGCAAAGCUGGAUCCUUAACCCACCAAGUGAGGCCAGGGAUGGAAACAGCAUCUUCACAGCUUCCAUGUUGGGUUCUUAACCCACUGAACCACACGGGAACUCCAGACUGCAGAGGUUUGGGGAGCUAUCAAGCACUGCCACUUGUGUGUGAUCCUCCAGUGGGUUAGUAGAAAAUAGGGUCCAUGAUGGCUUGUAUACAUAGACUUAGUGUACCCUGUACAGUUGGUUAGAAGUCUCCCUCCUGUGUGGCCACAGGAGAUAGGCUCCUGUGGGGCUUGGAAGCACCAGUCAUGUUGACACUUGCAAGUAUUCCAUGUUUUACUCUAUUUGGUUGUCUCUCUCUGCUUGGUUGGUGGAGAGUAGGUGGGGUGCAGAUGAGGGGAGUUGCUGCACAGCUGGUGGCCCAGCCUCAUUAGAGGCCCAGCCAGAUCCACAGCUUCCCCCUCCCAAGAGUUCAGCACCUCUUUGGUUUCCUCAUUUUCAUAAUAUUUGAACUAUAUUUCCAACAAUUCAAAACAUGGUUCUUAAAAAUGCCCCCAGCUUAGGAGUUCCCACCAUGGCUCAGUGGUUAACAAAUCCCACUAGGAACCAUGAAGUUGCAGUUUUGAUCCUGGUGUCGCUCAGUGGGUUAAGAAUCCGACAUUGCUGUGAGCUAUGGUA
rnacentral:lncRNA from 1 species